rnacentral:rRNA from 1 species
UCAGGCCUAACACAUGCAAGUCGUACGAGAGUUUUUAACUCUAGUGGCGGACGGGUGAGUAACACGUGAGAAUUUGCCUUUAGGAGGGGGACAACAAUUGGAAACGAAUGCUAAUACCCCAUAUGCUUUCGAGUGAAAUGGAUUUUAUCCGCCUAGAGAGAAGCUCGCGGCUGAUUAGCUUGUUGGUAAGGUAAGAGCUUACCAAGGCGACGAUCAGUAUCUGGUUUGAGAGGACGAUCAGACACACUGGAACUGAGACACGGUCCAGACUCCUACGGGAGGCAGCAGUGGGGAAUUUUCCUCAAAGGGGGAAAGCCCGACGGAGCAAUACCGCGUGACCUUUGAUGGCCUAUGGGUUGUAAACCUCUUUUUCAGGGAGGAAAAAAUGA